rnacentral:lncRNA from 1 species
AGAGCCCGGCGAGCGGGCGCGGCCCUGCCUACACCCCGACUUCAUCCCAGUGAGGAGGACGUCGGACUUCUGGCCUCCAGAGCUGUGAGAAAAUACAUUUGAGAUGUUCAAGCUGCCCAAUGUCUGGUCAUUUGUUACAAAAGAUAUGGAAAAUCAACGCACCAGUAACUGGAGAAAAUUGAUCACGACUGAAAGGCAGUGGGCAAAACGUACUGUUGUAGGUCAGCCCAGACCAGAAACUGAAAAGAGAUCAUGGGAAGGCAUAUCGGGGACGGAGCCCACGCUUCAGGGCCAUUCUGCUGGGCUUUCCUACAGUGACCUCACCAUCACCACCACCACCGACAACGACAUCACAGCCCCGACCUCACCAUCACCACCACCAAUGACAACACUACAGCCCUGACCUCACCAUCACCACCACCAACAACGACAUCACAGCCCUGACCUCACCAUCACCACCACCAAUGACAACACUACAGCCCUGACCUCACCAUCACCACCACCAAUGACAAUGACAUCACAGCCCCGACCUCACCAUCACCACCACCAAUGACGAUGCUACAGCCCCGACCUCACCAUCACCACCACCAAUGACAAUGACAUAACAUCCCCGACCUCACCAUCACCACCAAUGACAACGACAUCACAGCCCCGACCUCACCAUCACCACCAAUGACAAUGACAUCACAGCCCUGACCUCACCAUCACUACCACCAAUGACAACAACAUCACGGC